UGCAGAGGAAAAGCCACCCAGCAGCUACAACGAAGGGGUCUCACCUGGCUGCCUUUCCAGAAUAUACAGCUCUAGUUUCAACAUUAUUCCAGGGCUCAGCAUCUUUCUGUUUUUAUAUGUUGCCUCCAAGCAGCCUCAGAGGAGGCUAGGGAAGAGUCCCAGAUUUUCUUUUUUGUAGAAGCCAGAAAUAUAGAAAAAAAAUGCUCAUCCAAGAUUAAAGAUACCUCGACUCUACUUCCAAUCCUGUUCCCUAUUUAGCUCGAUGACCUUGGGAGAUCUUGAACCAAAUGGAAUGCUAGAGCUUGAAGUUAUCACAGAGAUCAUCAAAUCCAAAAUCUUUCUCAUUUUCCAGAGGAGGAAGUCAAGGGUCAAGGGAUCAUUGGAGAAACUUGCCGUGUCUGAAAUUUCAAUACCUUCACCAUACAGGACACCAGUGAGAUCAUUUCUUACCUGUCAGCAAAAGAGAGAGUUGGAUAAUAGAGAUUGGUAACCAAUGAGAAGAGAGCUGAUGGCGCACACCAUCUCCCUUGGAAACUACUCAAAUAUACGAGAAGAUUAAUGCAUCAAUUUCCAUGUGCAACUUGAAAAAAGUGUUUUUCUUCAUUAUAACAGACACAGAAUAGCACAAUAUAUUACUCUCUUCCUUUGCAAUAA